rnacentral:sRNA from 1 species
CCCUAGCCCUGAUGGGAGGGAAAAUCCUUUUGUGCCGGGGUUCGGCAUAAAAGAUUGGAAGGACAGCAGGAAAUAGC